rnacentral:pre_miRNA from 1 species
CUUUUACUCCCUCCGUCUGGAAAUACUUGUCAUUGAAAUGGAUGUAUCUAGAUGUAUUUUAGUUCUAGACACAUCCAUUUUGAUGACAAGUAAUUCCGGACGGAGGGAGUACUUG